rnacentral:rRNA from 1 species
AAUGAACGUUGGCGGCGUGGAUUAGGCAUGCAAGUCGUGCGAGAACCGUAGCAAUACGGGGACAGCGGCGAAAGGGAGAGUAAUGCGUGGAUACCUACCCCCAGGACCAGGAUAGCCGCGGGAAACUGCGGGUAAUACUGGAUAAUAUCUCCGGAUCAAAGGUGUGAUUCCGCCCGGGGAUGGGUCCGCGUCCUAUUAGCUAGUUGGCGGGGUAAUGGCCUACCAAGGUAAAGAGGGGUAUGGGGCGUGGGAGCGUGCCCCCACUCACUGGGACUGAGACACUGCCCAGACACCUACGGGUGGCUGCAGUCGAGGAUCUUCGGCAAUGGGCGCAAGCCUGACCGAGCGACGCCGCGUGCGGGAUGAAGGCCCUCGGGUUGUAAACCGCUGUCAGAGGGGAGGAAAUGCCGUGGGGUUCUCCCACGGUUUGACCUAUCCUCAGAGGAAGGACGGGCUAAGUUCGUGCCAGCCGCCGCAGUAAUAC